GAGAGAGCAGUCUGGAGAACUCCAGAGAAAGAAGAAAACAGAGCAAUCUGGAAAGCUGUCUCAAGCAGAACGUAGGUUGCCAGCUUGGAACCACGAUUUAACUAAGAGAUCUCAAGGACAACAGCAAAGAAAGACAUGGAGGAUACUUUGAAAAUAUUGAGUGGUGUAAGAAAGGCAACAUCAUGCUACAGAAACUGACAAAAUCUUAUUUCAGCAUUUGCCUUCAGUGUGUAUUGGACCUCCUUGGAACCCAACUGAGGAAUUUUCUCUGUACCAAAUAGCAGAGGAGACAAUCAACAAGCAG